AUUGAACGCUGGCGGCAUGCCUUACACAUGCAAGUCGAACGGUAACAGGUCUUCGGAUGCUGACGAGUGGCGAACGGGUGAGUAAUGCAUCGGAACGUGCCCUGUAGUGGGGGAUAGCCCGGCGAAAGCCGGAUUAAUACCGCAUACGACCUGAGGGUGACAGGGGGGGAUCGCAAGACCUCUCGCUAUUGGAGCGGCCGAUGUCAGAUUAGCUAGUUGGUGGGGUAAAGGCCUACCAAGGCAACGAUCUGUAGUUGGUCUGAGAGGACGACCAGCCACACUGGGACUGAGACACGGCCCAGACUCCUACGGGAGGCAGCAGUGGGGAAUUUUGGACAAUGGGCGCAAGCCUGAUCCAGCAAUGCCGCGUGCAGGAAGAAGGCCUUCGGGUUGUAAACUGCUUUUGUCAGGGAAGAAAUCUUCUGGGUUAAUACCUCGGGAGGAUGACGGUACCUGAAGAAUAAGCACCGGCUAACUACGUGCCAGCCGCCGCCGUAAAAC
rnacentral:rRNA from 1 species